rnacentral:rRNA from 1 species
GCAGAACAGGACAGCAGACCUGAGGACUCCCUUCUCGUCUGAUCUCGGAAGCUAAGCAGGGUCGGGCCUGGUUAGUACUUGGAUGGGAGACCUGAGGACUCCCCCACUGGACAGCU